GAGAGAAGAAAAAAGAAGAAAGGAACGGAUGAAAGACUGAUGGUGAUAAGAAACUCCAUGAAGCAUCUGAUGAAGUGAAAGUCAACUCUGGCUUAUUUGGUGUUAGAACUCUUGGAUUGCAAGGAAGGAAAGCCAGCUGCAGCUAACUGAAGCAAAACAGGACAACAAAUCAUAAUGGAACAAGGGAAGGAACAUCAUGGAACUCAACAGGAAGACUGUGGCCAGGCCGCAGGAAGAACUGGAAUUGACUUCUGGGAAUAGAAACUGUUAGGAGCCCAGACAGAAGUGCCCCUUUCUCCCCUCUACUUUUCUCUGUACAUAUGUUUGUCCUCUUUCUCUACAAUUUGGUGUCCUCUGCUCCCCAGUUUACAAAACCACACAAGUUACUCCUAAUGUUACUUAUUUGUCAUUUAUUUCAAAAAGUCAGAGAAGGACUAUAAUUAUCACAGCUUGUAUCAGGUGCCUACUUCCAGACCAAUAAACCCAGGCCAGAAGGAGGGCAAUAGUGUGCAUGAAGUAGUGAAAUGAAUCAUCGUCUAAAAAAGCAGACUUGAGAAUAACCAGUAUAGACCAUCUAAGAAUGUAUGUGUUGAAAGGGGAAGGCAUGCAGGGGUCAUUGUGUGUAAGACAGCUUUGAAAGAAGUCCAGUAUGUUGACCAUCCCAGUAGCCAGUAGCUGAGAGAGCAUGGGAUUUGGAGCCAAGCAGAUCUGUCACAUCAAUGCCUGUAAAUUUGCAUGGAUCAUUUUAGCUCUAUUUAAAAUAAACUCAGGUUUCUUUUUAUAUGUAACACUGGCAUUAUAAUUCUUAAUCUUCAUAAUUACUGUAUGCUUGACAACAGAGUAUGUAAAAUAACACAGUGAGCAUGAAAAGCUGAUACUUGCCAUUAUUAAUUCUUCAUACACUUUAAUUUCUAUUAUGUAUUCUAUCCAUACGAAAGUGUGCUGCAUCCUCCAAAAAAACAUAUAGGUUUUAUAAUAACUUCAAAAUCCGGUGAAAUGGGAACCAAUGUGCUAGGAUUAUUCUCCACACGGGUUUCUUCAUCACAUCCAAUAUUUGCACAUUGUGUCUAAUUUGGUAAACAACUCUUGAUUUAUUUUCCAGUCUUGGAUAGAUUUACCAGUGAAAGCUUUCCAGUGUGUCACUGAAAAAAAUGAAAGCAUUAAACUGUCUGGAGACAGGAUUUUGGAGUUUGUAAAUUCCCUCUGGUCACAGUUUAUCUUUUUUCAAGUGACUGGUGGUUAGCAUUUUUGUCUUCUGUUCUUUUGAUAGCUUCUUCAGGAAUCUUGAAUCUCUAGACAUCUCAGGAGACACUGUGGAAUUAAAAUGAAAUAAAGUAUCCAAACAUCA